AUUUUAAUUCAAUUAGGUUAUUUUUAUGCAUUUCUAAUUGAUUAAAAAUAGUUUCUGACUUCUAAAAAUACUGAAAUUUUUUGUCAAACUUUGUUUGACCUUGUUGAACUUAGGAUAAUUCACUUGGACUUUUCAAAGUUGAUUUGAAGAGAGUUUGAAGUUUGACCUUUCUUUAUUAUUUUAAUUCAAGUAUUAUUUUACUUUUGAAAAAU
rnacentral:lncRNA from 1 species